UCAUUGUCGUUUUUUUGCUCUCAAGCCUCUCGCCGCAAACGCAGCUCAUCGGGACCCAAGUGCGGCAUGGAACGGGUCAUCCAGGACUUCCUGUGAGAGGAGCGCAGAUGCAACGGCAGCACCUUGGGACGGCCGGGCUGCUGAUUAAUGUCGCCCCCCCCUCCGUGAUAGAUCUCCACGCAAAGUAGAAGCCGUUUAAUCUCCUCCGCGACGGCUCGGAAAGGGGCUCAUCUCUCUCGCUGGGCCGUGAAUUAUCGCCCUCACCUGUCAUCGGAUUCCAGCGGCCGGCCUGAACACUUUCAGAAGGACUGAGCGAUAUUGCCGAGGUGAUCCCAAUCAGACGCUGCGCAGCUGCACGCGAAGUGGCUGGGGGAAGCCUGGGAAAACGCACACGCCACGUCCCCAUUUUCAAUUCCACUGGCGGCAAAAAUAUGGCGUGCAUCAUCAUCAUCAUCAUCAUCGCCGGCAGUGUCUUGACGAGACUCCAGUCGCCCAACUUGAGGCACUCGAGGCCAGAAACAGUCACCAUAUUUUUCUCAUGUUGGACAUCUGCUGAGAAAUGUGAGUAUUGCUCAUUUAAUACGUGGACAUGUGCGUGUACGAUCUGUCCUCCGGG